rnacentral:rRNA from 1 species
UACAGAGGGGGCAAGCGUUGUUCGGAAUUACUGGGCGUAAAGGCGCGUAGGCGGCCUGCUAAGUCGAACGUGAAAUCCCUGGGCUCAACCCAGGAACUGCGUCCGAUACUGGUUGGCUUGAAUCCGGGAGAGGGACGUGGAAUUCCAGGUGUAGCGGUGAAAUGCGUAGAUAUCUGGAGGAACACCGGUGGCGAAGGCGACGUCCUGGACCGGCAUUGACGCUGAGGCGCGAAAGCCAGGGGAGCAAACGGGG